ACAUACGACCAUACCUACCAGAAAAUACGGGAUCCCGUCCGCUCUCCCAUAGUCAAGCUGGUAAGGGGCAGAUUAGUAGUUGGGUCGGUGACGACCAGCGAAUCCCCGCUGUUGUAUGUU
rnacentral:rRNA from 1 species